GUGUUCACUUCAGCAGCACAUACACCAAAAUUGGAAUGGUACAGAGAACAUUAACAUGACCCAUGGGCAAGGAUGACACACAUUUUCCUAAAACAAAAGGGAGGUGA
ensembl:snRNA U6 U6 spliceosomal RNA